GUGCCAGCAGCCGCGGUAAUACAGAGGUCCCAAGCGUUGUUCGGAUUCACUGGGCGUAAAGGGUGCGUAGGUGGCAGAAUAAGUUUGAUGUGAAAGCUUCGAGCUCAACUCGGAAAUGGCAUUGAAUACUGUUCUGCUUGAGGGUCGGAGGGGAGACUGGAAUUCUCGGUGUAGCAGUGAAAUGCGUAGAUAUCGAGAGGAACACCAGUGGCGAAGGCGAGUCUCUGGACGACUCCUGACACUGAGGCACGAAAGCUAGGGGAGCAAACAGGAUUAGAUACCCCCGUAGUCC
rnacentral:rRNA from 1 species